rnacentral:rRNA from 1 species
UACAGAGGUCCCGAGCGUUGUUCGGAUUCAUUGGGCGUAAAGCGCGCGUAGGCGGCUCGGAAAGUCGGGCGUGAAAUGCCGGGGCUCAACCCCGGGACUGCGUCCGAUACUUCCGAGCUGGAGGUAGGUAGGGGAGAUCGGAAUUCCUGGUGGUAGCGGUGAAAUGCGCAGAUAUCAGGAGGAACACCGGUGGCGAAGGCGGAUCUCUGGGCCUUACCUGACGCUGGAGGCGCGAAAGCUAGGGGAGCGACUCCGGA